rnacentral:rRNA from 1 species
AGUGAACGCUGGCGGUAGGCCUAACACAUGCAAGUCGAACGGCAGCACAGUAAGAGCUUGCUCUUACGGGUGGCGAGUGGCGGACGGGUGAGGAAUACAUCGGAAUCUACUUUUUCGUGGGGGAUAACGUAGGGAAACUUACGCUAAUACCGCAUACGACCUACGGGUGAAAGCAGGGGAUCUUCGGACCUUGCGCGAUUGAAUGAGCCGAUGUCGGAUUAGCUAGUUGGCGGGGUAAAGGCCCACCAAGGCGGCGAUUCGUAGCUGGUCUGAGAGGAUGAUCAGCCACACUGGAACUGAGACACGGUCCAGACUCCUACGGGAGGCAGCAGUGGGGAAUAUUGGACAAUGGGCGCAAGCCUGAUCCAGCCAUACCGCGUGGGUGAAGAAGGCCUUCGGGUUGUAAAGCCCUUUUGUUGGGAAAGAAAAGCAGCAGGUUAAUACCCCGCUGUUCUGACGGUACCCAAAGAAUAAGCACCGGCUAACUUCGUG